rnacentral:misc_RNA from 1 species
GAAAUGCGAUAAUUAAUGUGAAUUGCAGAAUUCAGUGAAUCAUCGAGUCUUUGAACGCACAUUGCGCCCCCUGGUAUUCCGGGGGGCAUGCCUGUCCGAGCGUCAUUGCUGCACUCAAGCACGGCUUGUGUGUUGGGCUUCCGUCCCUGGCAACGGGGACGGGCCCAAAAGGCAGUGGCGGCACCAUGUCUGGUCCUCGAGCGUAUGGGGCUUUGUCACCCGCUCCCGUAGGUCCAGCUGGCAGCUAGCCUCGCAACCAAUCUUUUUAACCAGGUUGACCUCGGAUCAGGUAGGGAUACCCGCUGAACUUAAGC